UACGUAGGGGGCUAGCGUUGUCCGGAAUUACUGGGCGUAAAGGGUGCGUAGGCGGCACUUUAAGUUAGAUGUGAAAUACCCGGGCUUAACCUGGGGGGUGCAUCUAAUACUGGAGUGCUUGAGUGCAGGAGAGGAAAGUGGAAUUCCUAGUGUAGCGGUGAAAUGCGUAGAUAUUAGGAGGAACACCAGUGGCGAAGGCGGCUUACUGGACUAUUACUGACGCUGAGGUACGAAAGCGUGGGGAG
rnacentral:rRNA from 1 species